GGGCGAGCGUUGUCCGGAAUUAUUGGGCGUAAAGAGCUCGUAGGCGGCUUGUCGCGUCGGGGUGUGAAAAGACCCGGGGGCUUAAAACUUCCCGGUUUCCUGCAAUUCGAUACGGGCUAGCUAGAGUUCGGUAGGGGAGAUCGGAAUUCCUGGUGUAGCGGUGAAAUGCGCAGAUAUCAGGAGGAACACCGGUGGCGAAGGCGGAUCUCUGGGCCGAUACUGACGCUGAGGAGCGAAAGCGUGGGGAGCGAACAGGAUUAGAUACCCUGGUUAGUCCACGCCGUAAACGGUGGGGCACUAGGUGUGGGGCGACAUUCCACGUCGUCCGUGCCGCAGCUAACGCAUUAAGUGCCCCGCCUGGGGAGUACGGCCGCAAGGCUAACACUCAAAGGAAUUG
rnacentral:rRNA from 1 species